rnacentral:rRNA from 1 species
ACAGCCUACAUACCGCCGUCGCCAGCUCACCUCCCUUGAGAGUAUAACAGUGAGCACAAUCGCCCUAACCCGCUAGUAAGACAGGUCAAGGUAUAGCCAAUGAAGUGGAAGAAAUGGGCUACAUUUUCUAACCUAGAAAAUCUCAACGGAAAGGAGCAUGAAACAGCCCCUAGAAGGCGGAUUUAGCAGUAAAGCAGGAUAAUAAUGCCUACUUUAAACUGGCUCUGAGGCAC